AUUGAACGCUGGCGGCAGGCUUAACACAUGCAAGUCGAGCGGGGAAGGGUAGCUUGCUACCUAACCUAGCGGCGGACGGGUGAGUAAUGCUUAGGAAUCUGCCAUUUAGUGGGGGACAACAUUCCGAAAGGAAUGCUAAUACCGCAUACGUCCUACGGGAGAAAGCAGGGGAUCUUCGGACCUUGCGCUAAAUGAUGAGCCUAAGUCGGAUUAGCUAGUUGGUGGGGUAAAGGCCUACCAAGGCGACGAUCUGUAGCGGGUCUGAGAGGAUGAUCCGCCACACUGGGACUGAGGCGCGGCCCAGACUCCUACGGGAGGCAGCAGUGGGGAAUAUUGGACAAUGGGCGGAAGCCUGAUCCAGCCAUGCCGCGUGUGUGAAGAAGGCCUUAUGGUUGUAAAGCACUUUAAGCGAGGAGGAGGCUACUUAGAUUAAUACUCUAGGAUAGUGGACGUUACUCGCAGAAUAAGCACCGGCUAACUCUGUGCCAGCAGCCGCGGUAA
rnacentral:rRNA from 1 species